GACGAACGCUGGCGGCGUGCCUAAUACAUGCAAGUAGAACGCACAGUUUAUACCGUAGCUUGCUACACCAUAAACUGUGAGUUGCGAACGGGUGAGUAACGCGUAGGUAACCUGCCUGGUAGCGGGGGAUAACUAUUGGAAACGAUAGCUAAUACCGCAUAAUAUUGAUUAUUGCAUGAUAAUUGAUUGAAAGAUGCUAUUGCAUCACUACCAGAUGGACCUGCGUUGUAUUAGCUAGUAGGUGAGGUAACGGCUCACCUAGGCGACGAUACAUAGCCGACCUGAGAGGGUGAUCGGCCACACUGGGACCGAGACACGGCCCAGACUCCUACGGGAGGCAGCAGUAGGGAAUCUUCGGCAAUGGACGAAAGUCUGACCGAGCAACGCCGCGUGAGUGAAGAAGGGUUUCGGAUCGUAAAGCUCUGUUGUAAGGGAAGAACGGGUGUGAGAGUGGAAAGUUCACACUGUGACGGUAUCUUACCAGAAAGGGACGGCUAACUACGUG
rnacentral:rRNA from 1 species